rnacentral:lncRNA from 1 species
UGCAUCAUGGUCGUCUAAGAUGCUACGAUCAGGUUAAACAAACAAAGCAAGGAUCGGAUUCACUAUAAAGAAGCAAACCCUUGAAUAAUGGCCAGUUGGAGCUUGGCCGCAUGGGUGAGUAGACUUAGAAGUGUGUUAGAUCGUGAUACUAAUACAGUAGAAACCCUGCACGUUGAGACCCUCGAUCCAUGAUAAGAGUUAGGAUUGGGAGGAAAAAAGGGAAUAGCUCGCCGAGGAUGUGCGCAGCUUGAGGUGUCUCGACUGAUGUUGAUGCUACUUGCUGCUCGUGAAGUGGAAACGGUUGGGACUAAAAAGCCCCGCUUGACUCCUCUCCUGGGCAGCGACUUGCUAGAAAAAAGCAAGACAAAAGCGGAGGAGGCACAAAGCAUGCGCUCUACUCUGAUUGGAGGUAACCGGAAUAGCUUACGGUGAUGCUCAGUUUAAUUUGGCAUGUCAGGUUUUGGCAGGGGAUUGAUUAGGAUCUAAUCCAAUCCAUUGUGAUUUCCAUUCAAUCAAGGGCACCAAAAGCUAACGAUCAGCCCACUUGUGAUUGGUCGAGGUUUGAGCGAACUUCAUGGCAAAUAGAGGCCUCUACCUAGUUGAUCUGU